rnacentral:sRNA from 1 species
GAGCGUCCACCUCUCCCUCACUGUUCCAUUGGUGUCCCUCCCAAAACUCCGUGAUCUGAUAAAGAUGACAACCUUCCUGGAUAAAGGGAACUGUUCCUCAGUCUAAGAUUCACAAGGAGUUUGGCUCCCCUGCUAGAACCUCCAGAAGAAAAGAAAAGGAAAAAGGUCUGGAGAUCUGAAGAAACUCUCCUAAGCACAUUGCGAAUGCCUUAAAAUGAAAAGAAGCUGAUUUG